CCUACGGGUGGCAGCAGUGAGGAAUAUUGGUCAAUGGGCGGGAGCCUGAACCAGCCAAGCCGCGUGAGGGAAGAAGGUACAGCGUAUCGUAAACCUCUUUUGUCAGGGAACAAAGGCGGGGACUAGUCCCCGGAUGAGGGUACCUGAAGAAAAAGCAUCGGCUAACUCCGUGCCAGCAGCCGCGGUAAUAUGGAGGAUGCGAGCGUUAUCCGGAUUUAUUGGGUGUAAGGGGUGCGUAGGCGGACUGUUAAGUCAGCGGUAAAAGCUCGGGGCUAAACCCUGGAGAGCCGUUGAAACUGGCUGUCUUGAGAAGUCGAGAGGUAUGCGGAAUGCGCAGUGUAGCGGUGAAAUGCUUAGAUAUUGCGCAGAACUCCGAUUGCGAAGGCAGCAUGCCGGCUCCACACUGACGCUGAGGCACGAAAGCGUGGGUAUCGAACAGGAUUAGAUACCCGUGUAGUC
rnacentral:rRNA from 1 species